UUAUUCUAUUUAAACAAUAAAAAGUUAGUACUUAUCCAAACCGAUAUUUGUGUGACGAUUCGAAUUUGAUUUUGUGCUACAACCGUGGAUGCGCUCAGCAAUUCGAUGAAGCCAAAAAAUACUGAAGAUUCUUGUGUAUAUCAUCCAGGUAACCCUUUUUUUCAUAACGCCUACAAGGGAUGGUCGUGCUGUAAAAAGGAAUUUACCGAUUUUACUGAAUUUCUUAAUAUAAAGGGCUGCAAAAGGGAUAUCACAGCGGUAAAAUUCUAAAAGAGCCCGAAAGUCUUGAUGUCAUUGAAUAUCAAGCCCCAAAAACUUUUUCGUUGCCGAGACCUUCAUCUAAUUUGCCAUUGCUAAAUAUUAAACCGACCAUAUCCUCUUCUUACUUACAACAAAAGACGACUACUCCUAUAAGCAAUUCCAAUGGAAGCGAUACAAAUUGUUCAACGGAUAUUUCAAUUGGCCUAUAAAGGUGCUGAAAAAGUGAAUAUUUCUUGUGACCAUCAUCCCGGUACAUCUAUAUUCCAUGAGGGUAUGAAAUAUUGGUCCUGUUGUAAUAAAAAUACAUCAGAUUUCCAUGCAUUUUUAGAACAACAUGGGUGUUUUCAAGGAAAACAUUGUUGGAUUAAAGAAACUGUAAUUUCCUAAAAUUAACGGACAUACCAACUGCCGUUUAGACUGGCAUCAGAGUGGACCUUGGGUUGUAAUAUCAAUCUUUGCCAAAAAAUAUGACCCAAACAGUUCUUUUGUGAGAUUGUCUCCAGAAAAAAUGUCUGGAACUAAACUUCCCUUUUGACAAUUCUUUGUUUUCUAAAAACAUGGAACUUUAUGGGAUUGUCAACGUAAAUGCAAGUUGUGUGUCCAUGUUGCCUAUAAAAAUUUAAAUAAAACUUAAAAAGCAGAAGCAGUAUCAUGGGGUGUAUUGGAAUAUCAAAAGCGUAAACUUUCAAAUGGUACAAAACAAACAUUAAAUUCAGAAACAAAUGACAGACAUAAAAAAUGAAAAAUUGUUUUAUGUCUGAUUUAUGUUCUAUGUGCCAAUAAUCCUGUAUGGGUUCCAAGUGCCAAUUCGAUUUAUUACUAGUGCAUAUUGCGUUCAUAGAUGGCGUAUGGCAUAUGAUUAUAUUGAAUGUUAUAUUGUUUUUUGUGUUUCCUGAACAUUUUGGUUUUUGGCACAUAGAACGUUUGACACAUUCGCUCUUCAGGUAAUAAGUGUUUAUUUUGCUUCAAUAUUAUUAAGAUAUUUAUAUUAUAUAAUAUACAUA